rnacentral:lncRNA from 1 species
AUGGAGGAUAAUUAUACUAUUCUGUUUACUUUGUAUAGGUGUGAAAUUUUCCACUAUAACAUUUUUUUAAAGAACAUCUAUAAAAGACUUACACCUAACAUCAUACUUAAUCAUGAGAAAUUGGAUACCUUUCUGCUAAGAACCAAAAGAGACAGGAUCUCACUAUUUUGCCCAGGCUCGUCUCAAACUCCCGGCUCAAGCAAUUCUCUCUCCUUGGCCUCAGAAAGUACUGGGAUUACAGAUUCCACAGAGUCGAUUCAUAGCAGAUCCCACCCAUUCAAAAGCAAAACAAGACUAACAGUCAUCAAAACCUCUUUUUGUAAGUGCAUUCCACAUUCAUCUUACAUACCUUCCCAGCUCUAGCAUUCUCUUCCUGUCCCUUUACUCCCCAGAACUGCUCUCUCCAAAGUCACCUCCUGCUUCUCAGUCUAAUAAGUACCUAAUAUCUGUAAUGUAUAUCUUUCUCCUGCUUUUUCUGUUACUUUAUUUACUGGGGUUUUGUUUUUGGAAUUUUUGGUUGCUUGUUGGCUCUUAUGGACCUGAACUUUCUUGUGAGGAGCUC